ACCUAAGGCUAUAAUAGCCUGAAGACAACUGAUCUCCUCUGAUCUCAGAAGGUAGGCAGGACAGUGCCUUCUUCUCUGGGGCCCAGCCCAACCAUGAGACCCUGGCUCAUUAGUCC
rnacentral:rRNA from 1 species